CAGACUUGGUCCUGUUCACCUGAGUGUGAAGUCAUUUGUCUCUUCUCCAUCCCCAAACACCAACAGACUUAUGGUUCCAUCGCAGGAAUCUGGAGCUGGUGGUACCCCAACUUCAACUGUGCAGAUGGGAACAAUGUCCUAGGAUGUGGCAGAGGAACAUCAUGGGAAAAACCCAAGAUCUCUGAAUGACUGGAGCAGAGACACCCCACUCGCCUAGACUGUUCGCGUGUAAUUUCUUCAAGCCACAGUAUUCCAGGGUUUUUAAUAGUCAUUUGGCAAUACCCUGCAUAAUAUGAUAAACAAGUGUGCAAAACAUGUCAGAUGGGAUAAAUAUGAUUGAGAAAAAUAAAAGUGUAAGAGAAUAGAGAGUGCCAAGAUGGCGGAGGAGUGCUUGCAGUUUUAAAUAUGGAAGUCAUAGAAGGUCUCGUUGAGAUGGCAACUUUUGAGAAAAGGUGUGAAGGAGAUAAGGGAAUGGAGCAGAACAGCUAUCUGGGGGGAGAGUGUGCCCAGCAGAAGAAAUGACAAGUACAAAGGCCCUGAGGUAGAAGAAUGCCUGGCAUAUUUCAGGAAUAGCAAGGAGAGCAGUGUGUUGGAGCAGAGUGAGCAAAGAGAGACUAGUAGGAGAUGAAGUCAGAGGUGGUGAUGGGAGGAAGGUGAAGGCACGGAAGUAGGGUAUAUGGCUUUUGGUGGGCCCUUGUGGGCUUUUAAUCUAAGUGGGAAGAAAAGCCACUGGAGGGCUCUGAGCCAGAGGAGGGAUAAUUAUUUUUUGAGACAGGGCCUUGCUCUGUUGCCCAGGCUGGAGUGCAGUGGCACACGGUUCACUGCAGCCCCCACCUCCCUAGGCUCAGGUGAUCCUCCCACCUCAGCCUCCCAAGUAGCUGGGAACACAGGCAUGUGCCACCGCACUCAGCUAAUUUUUGCAUUUUUUGUAGAGACGGGGUCUUGCCAUGUUGCACAGUAUCAGGGGAAAUUCAGCCAGAUAUCAGGUGAAAUUCACCCCCGAUAUUUCACAUAGGUUCUUUUCUGUAGUCCCUAAGUGUCAGCCGGUCUGAGAAAUAAAGGGACAGAGUAUAAAAGAGAGAAAUUUUAAAGCUGGGUGUCCGGGGGAGACACCACAUGUCGGCAGGUUCCGUGAUGACCCCUGAGCCGCAAAACCAGCAAGUUUUUAUUAGUGAUUUUCAAAAGGGGAGGGAGUGUACAAAUAGGGUGUGGGUCACAGAGAUCACGUGCUUCACAAGGUAAUAGAAUAUCACAAGGCAAAUGGAGGCAGGGUGAGAUCAUAGGACCACAGGACCGGGGCAAAAUUAAAAUUGCUAAUGAAGUUUCGGGCACGCAUUGUCAUUGAUAACAUCUUAUCAGGAGACAGGAUCUGAGAGCAGACAACCGGUCUGACCAAAAUUUAUUAGGUGGGAAUUUCCUCGUCCUAAUAAGCCUGGGAGCGUUACGGGAGACUGGGGCUUAUUUCCUCCCUACCGCUUCGACCGUAAAAGAUGGCCACCCCCCGAAGGGGCCAUUUUAGAGGCCUACCCUCAGGAACGCAUUCUCUUUCUCAGGGAUGUUCCUUGCUGAGAAAAAGAAUUCAGCGAUAUUUCUCCCAUUUGCUUUUGAAAGAAGAGAAAUAUGGCUCUGUUCCGCCCAGCUCACUGGCGGUCAGAGUUUAAGGUUAUCUCUCCUGUUCCCUGAACAUUGCUGUUAUCCUGUUCUUUUUUCACGGUGCCCAGAUUUCAUAUUAUUCAAACACACAUGCUCUACCAACAAUUUGUGCAGUUAACGCAAUCAUCACAGGGUCCUGAGGCGACAUACAUCCUCCUCAGCUUACAAAGAUGAUGGGAUUAAGAGAUUAAAGUAACGACGCAUAGGAAAUCACAAGGGUAUUGAUUGGGGAAGUGAUAAG
rnacentral:lncRNA from 1 species